AUUGAACGCUGGCGGCAUGCCUAACACAUGCAAGUCGAGCGAGUGGCGGACGGGUGAGUAAUAUAUGGGAACGUGCCCAGUAGCGGGGGAUAACUACUCGAAAGAGUGGCUAAUCCCGCAUACUAUUGGAUGGACCCAUAUGGGAUUAGCUAGUAGGUGGGGUAAAGGCUCACCUAGGCGACGAUCCCUAGCUGGUCUGAGAGGAUGACCAGCCACACUGGGACUGAGAAACGGCCCAGACUCCUACGGGAGGCAGCAGUGGGGAAUAUUGCACAAUGGGGGAAAGCCUGAUGCAGCCAUGCCGCGUGUAUGAUGAAGGCCUUAGGGUUGUAAAGUACUUUCAGCGGGGAGGCGUUACCUGCAGAAGAAGCACCGGCUAACUCCGUGCCAGCAGCCGCGGUAAUAC
rnacentral:rRNA from 1 species